GACGUAGGAUGCAAGCGUUGUCCGGAAUUAUUGGGCGUAAAGAGUUCGUAGGCGGUUCGGUAAGUCUGGUGUUAAAGCCCGAGGCUCAACCUCGGUAUGGCAUUGGAAACUGCGGAGCUAGAGUGCGGUAGAGGUCAAGAGAAUUCCCGGUGUAGCGGUGAAAUGCGUAGAUAUCAGGAGGAACACCGAUUGCGAAGGCAGCUCGCUGGGACGUAACUGACGCUGAGACGCGAAAGCGUGGGGAGCAAACAGG
rnacentral:rRNA from 1 species